UCCAAAUGGCGUUCACUUGUCACUGCGGUAUCCGACUGACAGGGGUAAUACCCCUAUUCCAGCAUCUGAGGCGGUGCGUCAAGCGCCGCCUCUUUCUCAUAAUAUAUUGUGACAAAUGUGGAGAAAGGCUGGUGGGAGGCCAAGCCGUGGCCGCACACCUGGCGGGUGCGGCCCAUCGAACCCGUUACUGGGAGGGCCGGCAGGUCGGGCUGCUGUUGCAGUCUGACUACCGGGACGCCAUGGAGCGUAUCAGGACCCUAUGAUGAUGAUGUAUGUAUGAAGGUCUGGAGCUAGCUGCCGUCUUCGGGAUGUGCCAUUUGUUUCAAAAUUAUUUGUAAGUACUUGUAACAGGCGUAGUGUAGUAACUGUGUGUGUAGUGUAGUAACAGUGCAGUCGUAAUGUGUUUUGUGAUGGUCCUGAGCGGUCGUAAUGUGUUGGGCUACUGAAGUACACUGCAUAAAGGGGUAUGUGUGGGUGCUUCGACAUAUUCUCG